CUCUGUGAACACUCUGGGUUUCUCUGCUUAGGAGCCACACCCUUGGAUCUUUCUGGAAGGUUUAGCACCAGAACAGUGAUCAACAGUCUGAUCUUGGGAUGAAUUCCAAGGCAGCUCCCACGUGACAGAGCAUCGAGGAGGGGAGGAGUGAAAGGGGAACAAUGCAGUAGUCCCCCCAUCUGCAGAGCACCUCAAAACUGUACAGGAUGGCAUGCUGUGAGUGAACGCUUACUUCCCCUCUAAAUGGCCCAGUGACCCCUGCACUCUGGAGGUGACAGCACAAAAGGUUCAAAGCCACCGUUAGCCACAGUGAGUUUCAGGACAGCUUCAGCUACCUGAAAUCCAUCUCAACAAACACCCAGAGGCUCUUCUUAUUUAACAACAUUGAUAGACAAGAAAUAGACCUGCUCUGGGGUGCAAACUCCAUCAGACUGCCAUGUGGACAGAGACGCAGAGAAGCUGGAAGGCGGAGGAGGCCCCGAGAGCUGGACAGCACGUCCCUGCCUGACUCACCCAGAAGAUGUCAUAGAUGAAGAGUCCGCCAAGCAGGAUGCAGCCAGUGCUCACGUUGUUCAGGUGCAGG